CAAUAGCGUAUAUUUAAGUUGUUGCAGUUAAAAAGCUCGUAGUUGGAUUUCGGAUGGGACUUGCCGGUCCGUCGUUUCGAUGUGCACUGGCCAGUCCUAUCUUGUUGUCGGGGACUAGCUCCUGGGCUUCACUGUCCGGGACUAGGAGCUGACGAGGUUACUUUGAGUAAAUUAGAGUGUUCAAAGCAAGCCUACGCUCUGAAUACAUUAGCAUGGAAUAACAUGAUAGGACUCCGCUCUUAUUUUGUUGGUUUCCGAGACUGGAGUAAUGAUUAAGAGGGACAGUCGGGGGCAUCCGUAUUUCAUUGUCAGAGGUGAAAUUCUUGGAUUUAUGAAAGACGAACUUCUGCGAAAGCAUUUGCCAAGGAUGUUUUCAUUAA
rnacentral:rRNA from 1 species